rnacentral:rRNA from 1 species
CACGUAGGGGGCGAGCGUUGUCCGGAUUUAUUGGGCGUAAAGAGCUCGUAGGCGGUUUCGUAAGUCGGAUGUGAAAACUCCAGGCUCAACUUGGAGACGCCAUUCGAUACUGCGAUGACUUGAGUCCGGUAGGGGAGUGUGGAAUUCCUGGUGUAGCGGUGAAAUGCGCAGAUAUCAGGAGGAACACCGGCGGCGAAGGCGGCACUCUGGGACGGUACUGACGCUGAGACGCGAAAGCGUGGGGAGCGAACAGG